AGAUGGACCACGAUUUCCUUGCAUACGGUGUCCCUCAUCAGCCUGCCACCCUGGAAUCUCAAUUUAUUCCGCUCCCUCCAUAUCGUCGGCACCAGAAUCCCAAAUAGGCAUGCUGUAAUUUCUGCUAAGCCAUUUCUACUCUUCGCCGGCUUACUAAUCCACGCACACUCCUCCUUCCAGUCAGCAAUGGUACGCUUAUGGCCCAACCAGUUGAGGAGUCGAUACCAGAGCUCU
rnacentral:lncRNA from 1 species